UCUAGCCAGGUUCCAAAAACCAGAACCUUCCCACCUCCCACUUAAGAGUAACUAACGGCCUCCUCCGGCUGUGGAAUUAUCCUGAUCACUGACAUGGAAUGAUGUUUCCUUGGCUCCGGCACUUCUCACUUGGUUGUUGCCCCUGCCUGUGUUCGUUCCCCAGGAUCUGGGGCAUCUAGGAAUUCCUCUUUCAUUCAAACCAUUAGACCAUGAAACCAGAGUCAAAGGGACUCAGCUGUCUCAGUUCGUACCUCACCAUCAAAGUGAAAGAUCUCUAGUGUCCUGGGCGGCAAGACAAUGCGUGACUCAGUUGCCUGAUUUAUAAUCACGCCCCACACCAGGGGCCACAGCACAUGGGACCCACCAGCUUCUGAGACCAGUUAUAUUUUGGGAGCUUCAGCAAAGAAAACUCUGAAUGGAAGCAAGACAGCACUGGUGCCUCUUUCUCAGGGAAAGACUCAUCAGAGGUCAUAGAUGGGGCAGUCAUUUUGCCCUGGGAACAAACUGUGAGGAGAAAGGGAGUCCCAGCAAAGGGGAUUGCCCCACCCAUAAUUCACAUGAGAAAAUCACCUUUCAGUUUCUGGGAUGCUCUCCAAAAGAAACUCCUUACCCCUCUCCCUAAACUUGCUCUCACUGAGCAAAUGUCAUAGGUCAGACCACAAGAUUAAAAGAAUAAGGACAGGAGUAACUGGAGAGGAUCGCUGUGGGCCCAGGAAUCUGAGCUCUGAACUGCACAACAAUCGAAGAGUGAUUAUCCACCGUACAUCUGCUAGAGAAGAAGAUAAUUUCUACCAGUGUUUACUGCCUGUCAGGUUCUGGGCUACCCACGUCUUAUGUGUAUUAUCUCACUGCAUCUUCUCAGUGACUAUAUUUACAGAUAGAAAAAUUGAACUUUAG
rnacentral:lncRNA from 12 species